rnacentral:rRNA from 1 species
GACGAACCGUGCGAACGUUAUUCGGAAUCACUGGGCUUAAAGCGCGUGUAGGCGGAUGGGAACGUCGGUCGCUGAAAUCCCCCGGCUCAACCGGGGAACGGGCGCCGAAACGACCCGUCUGGAGGGACGUAGGGGGACCUGGAACUUCCGGUGGAGCGGUGAAAUGCGUUGAGAUCGGAAGGAACGCCCGUGGCGAAAGCGAGGUCCUGGACGUCUACUGACGCUGAGACG